rnacentral:rRNA from 1 species
AAGGAUCAUUAGUGAAUUUUAGGGCGUGCUUUCGAGCAGCCUGACCUCCACUUUCUACUCUGUGCACCUUUUUCACAUUGGGGUCUGCUUGGUGCGCCUUCACGGGCCACCGGUUUCCCCUUUGUAUUUACUUUAAACCUGAGUUUAAGAAUGUAACAAAAAACCAUAACAAAAAAAAACUUUCAACAACGGAUCUCUUGGCUCUCGCAUCGAUGAAGAACGCAGCGAAAUGUGAUAAGUAAUGUGAAUUGCAGAAUUCAGUGAAUCAUCGAAUCUUUGAACGCACCUUGCGCUCUCUGGUAUUCCGGAGAGCAUGCCUGUUUGAGUGUCAUGAACUCUUCAACCCACCCUUUCCUUGUUGAUCGGUGCUGGUGUUUGGAUCUUGAACGUUUUGCAGACUGCUUGUCAGCCUGCUCGUUCGUAAUGCAUUAGCCUUCUCAAUUUCGAACUUCGGAUUGACUCAGCGUAAUAGACUAUUCGCUGAGGACACUGGUUUCUAAUCGGUGGCCGAACUGUAGAUAACUACGAAGCUUCUAAUCUCAAUUUGUAGUCAAUUUUUUUGAAUUUAGACCUCAAAUCAGGCAGGAUUACCCGCUGAACUUAA